GUGUCAGCGUCUUGCAGGUUUUGGUAAUAAGGCUAAUAUGUAGAUAAAAUAUGACGAGUCCGUGAGGUAAAAUACAUAAUUAAUGCUUUGUUUGAUGAAUCGAUUAUACAUAUACAUGUACAUAUUUAAAUAUUAAAAAUCACUACACAUAAUUCAGCUCUAUUCUUUUAUUUAUUUAUAUUUGGUCUGUUUCUUAUUAUUUUUUUUAAGCCAGCAAGCACCAUUUAUUUAUUAUCUUUCAUACCUGAUUUAAUUGCACUGACAAAGAACAAAAUAUAAAGAAUUUAUACCUCAGACAAAACCCAAGGAAAGAUUAGUAGACUUACCUCAUAUCGGGAGCGUCUAUCCAUUUUCAACAAAAUGAGUUAAGUCAUACACAAAUUAUCACUAUUUAAUACAUAAUCCUUUUAUCCUGCGUAAUAUAUAUAAUUGAAUUUUGCAUCCAAAUUGCGAAAUACUUUUUUUUAAAUCUUGUAAACACACCUUCACCUGUUUUUAAC
rnacentral:lncRNA from 1 species